AGACCUUGUUUCAAAAAGUCAAAUAAAUUAAUCAGGCAAACAUAAAGGAAAAAUGAACAUUAUGUUGUAAUCAUAUUAUAUUAUAGCUAGCAGUGUGUGGAACAAACUUUGAACCUUGUAACUAUGCAUUACUCUCAUUGGUUAAUAAAAAAGCUGACUGGCCAAUAGCUGGACAGGUAGAGGUUAGGCAGAAGAGCCCAACUAACUGAGAGGAUGCUGGGAAGAAGGAGGGCGGAGUCUCGGGAGGUGUGGGCCAGAUGAAGAGGAAGCCACAUGGAAAGUUCAUAGAUGAGAUAAACGAGCCUUGGGGCAGCUCAUAGAUGAAUGGAAAUGAGUUAAUUUAAGUUUUAAGAGCUGGCUGGGGAGACAAGCUUAAGCUAUUGGCCAAGCAUUUAUCAUUAAUAUUAAGCCUCUGGGUGGUUAUCAGGGAGCAGCUGAUAAGAGAGACAGACAGAGAGAAGUCUGCCUACAUAGCAGUGAUGUCGUUAGAUGUGUAAAAGAAUCUCGCGUGAUGGCUACAGAAUUUGCUCUUAGUAUUGUGAAUUUUCUUCCUAUUGUUCUUUUUCAGGAUGAAAAUCUUUUUCAACCACCAAUUGUUUGGGCUCUCAGAACUCAACAAUACACACAGGAAAGCCAGACCAAAUGCUAUUUUGCUUAGUGUUUUUUUGACUGCAGGGGGUAACCUGUUUUGGUUGGGGAAGCAUUUGGAAGCACUUAUCUUUCUCUUGGUGGCUCUCCAAACACCCCUAACUUUAAAGUGAUUUAAAAGUUUACCAGUUUCAGCAGGGUGUGGUGGGGCGGCAUACCUUUAAUCCCAGUACGUGGGAGAAAGAGGCUGGUGGGCUUCUAUAAGUUUGAGGCCAGCCUAAUCUACACAGUGUGUCCCACGACAGCUAAAGCUACAUAGAGAGAGACCCUGUCUCGGAAAAACGAACAGAAACAAAACAGAAUAAAAAAAUGCUUAACAGUUGCUCAUUUAAAAAGGCCAUUACUUAGCUAAUGGAGGGCAAACACGUAGAGAAGGUUGGCUUUGAGGGGUGUUUUUUAAAGUUUUGGGUGACAUUCUAGAAGAUUUACUACACUUUAAACAAAAUAUUAAAGCCCUAGUACAAAUAGCUGACUCUGUGGGAUCUGGAAAACUGCCUUCCCCAGGUUCCCAAGCUGGAACUUUCCAUCACAUCCUUGGCAUGCAGCAGCCAGGCAGAAACAGUUCUCUGACUGACGCAGGACUCUGGCCUACGCUAGGUCUACACUUUCUCCCCCAGGUUUAGGGAGACAACACCCAAUUCUAGUCACAAAGAAAGGAAUACGGAGCUCUGAACACUGCUUGGAGCCAGUAAGUUCUGUUUGGCCUUGGGAGUAGGGUGAUGUGAGCCAUUUGUGAGCACGAGGGGGCAGCUCGUUAGGGGAGGAGGUCGGUUUCGUCAUAAUUAAAGGAAGUGUGGUGGUAUCUUACAAGUGAGUGGGCUUGCGACUCUUGAAGGUGCUUUGAAACCUUUCCUAGAACCGAAGUUCAGAGCUGAGGCCAGACAGACAUCCGGCUGUAGAACAGGAAGCCUGUCCAGCGGAUGAUACGAGUCUGCUUGUGGAUCAGAUAUGAGCGCUCAGCCCUGCUUCAGCACUGUACCUGCCUGCCACCAUGCUUCCUUUCCUGCCAUGAACGUGGACUGACCCUCUGGAACUGUAGUCCCACUAAAGCCUUUAAAGGGCUGAUGGCUCGGUGAGUAAAACACUUGCUUCCAGGCCUGACGACCUGAGUUUGAUGCCUGGAUCCUACAUAGCAGAAGGAGAGAACCAACUCCUGCAAGAUGAUUUGGGCCGCCAUGAGAGGAGCCACAGGAUGCGCCAUUAUACAGCCCAAGGGCUGGCAAGAUGGUCCAGUGGUUAAGAGCACCUGCUGCUCUUGCGGAAGACGGGGAUUUGGUUCCCAGCACCCACAUGGUGGUUUACAACCAUCAGUAACUCCAGUGCCAGGAAAUUUAAUGCCCACUUCUGACUUCUGAAGGCACUGUAUGCAUGUGGUACGCAUACAUACGCAUACACAGGAGAAACCACUCAUAUGUAUGAAAUAAAAGCAAAUCUUUUAAAAAGUC